ensembl:lncRNA
GAGAGAGAGAGAGAGAGAGAGAGAGAGAGAGAGAGAGUUGCUCUCAACUGGCAACCUUCAAACCCAGAACUGUGGUUGUAUUGUCAAGAUGUGAAAAACACAAAUAAACCCAGUGGUCUUCUUAAUAAAGCUUUAGUUUUAUUAUAAAUUAGUAUUAACAACCCGAACCUCCUGGCUUUCUUUAGCCUUCAUGUCCUUCGAAAACAAAAGUCUCAUUAACCCAGAGCGAAGCAGCAGCUUUUAGGAAUAACAUUUCCAAGAUACCAAAUUAUACAACCAGCACUCUCAAAAAUGCUGUAAUUCUUUUUUUUAUCACGCUUAAUACAAUAUUUUGCCUGAAUAAUGAUAUAGUUGGGGAAGCUUGGAAGUAUUUGCUAGACCGAGGGCCAUUAAGGAUCUCUAAAGACCUUUAAAAAAAACAGGCAACGGCCCUGAUGUGUCCAGAAAGAAUACACACAGAUAAUCCCGAGAGAGGGAUCCUCCUCAGCCGUUCUCCCUAACGUUAUUUCAUUUUUUCUCCCCAUAAAAGGGUUUUAUCAUUUUUUGAGUUUUUCCUGUGCCGAUGUGAGGAUUCAAGACAGAUCACAUCAUGUGUAGACUGUAAAACCCUUUGAGGCAAAUUUGUAAUAUGUAAUUGGACUACACAAAAUGAAUUGAUUUGAAUUGAAUAAUAUUGGGCCCUCCUCCUUUAAAAAAAAAAGUCCACUCCACUAUUUCGGAAUUGUCGACCUGAAAAAUAAAAAAGUAAGGAGGCUUAGCUUGGUUUGGGUUGUUAUUUUUGCUGCUUUAUAUGGGAAUUGAAAGCCAGGUCCUGGACACAGCUAGCAUGCAUUUCACAAGAACAUGUUAGAAGCGUACACAGAGGAAGCUAUAUCUAUAUAUAGAUAUAUAUAGUUGUCUCCCUGCAGAGAGACCUUUCCAUUUGGUGUUAAUCCCCAUUUAUGGACUAGGACACAAAGCCCUGGGCAGGGGGAGAUUCAGAACUGGAGACAAGCCAAUAUGAGUUGGAAAAGGCACAGAAAAAUUGAAUUCUUGUUGAGAGUUGGGCUAUAUACCGGAGAUACAAUUUGUGGACACACUAAAUGCAAAUAAAUAAUUAAUUAGUAAUUAAUAAGUUAAUUAUUAUGGAUAGCUACAAUUUCCAUGAAACAAUGUGGGCCUAGAAAAGGCAUUGACAACUAUGCGGAUCCAUGACAAGCCACAACAUUCCAAAUUCCAAAUUGUGGAAAAUGAUCUUUUACUUCAGUCAAGAAAAAUAUUUGGCAAAGCACAUCAAUAAUACAGUGUUUUUCGAUUGCUAAACGACAGUGGGCACAACUGGAGUCACAUGUGCAAAACUCUAACUACAGUCUGCACAGCAGCAGUUCAUGUGGACCAAACUCUAGUUUGUUUUUCAUUGCUUGAACACAGUUUUCAAAACUCUACACACUUAUCCAAUGACUUAUCCACAACCUGCACAACACUGUGGAUUUACAGCACUUUGUUCAAAUGCUAACACACUGCUGUCAAAACUGUGAACCACACAUCUAAAACGGAAUGUGCCUUUCAAACACUGCUGAUUGCAUUUCAGCUGAAAGGCAAAGCAGGUGUCUUGUUUUAGACUUGUUAGUGAACACACACACACACACACACACACACACACACACACACACACACACACGCGCACACAUAUACAUAUGUAUACAUACAUACACACAUAUAUAUAUAUAUAUGUGAUAUAUGUGUGUACAUACAUACAUAUAUAUAUAUAUAUAUAUACAUACAUACAUAUAUACGUACAUAAAUACAUACACAUAUAUAUACAUACAAACAUAUAUAUGUACAUACAUACAUACCAUUCAAUGAUGACACUGUGACAGGGGAGAAGAUGAACAGACCUUACAUCACAACUCAGGUUUAGUUACCUGUUACCUGAAUGCCUUGCUCAGGGAUAACCCGAUGGAAUUGACACAUUUAUUACACGUCAUUGAUUGUCUUGGAUGUUUGAAUCGAUAAUUGCAGUUUUUUCAUUUGUUAUUGUAGCAAUGACCAUUGCUUUUUGUAUUUUUUGACAGAAACGUUUAGAUUGCCAGAAAAACCUCAACAACACCAUGAUUGAUGAAUCCCAUCAGCUGCAUGUGUGUAGGUAAUCAGGUACUCAUUAAGAAGUAGUCCAAACUAAGUAUUCCACCCAGACGCACACACAAACACCGUCAUUUCCUACAUUUACCUAAAAACAACAUAUCAGUAAUUUAGUGUGUGCAGCAUAAUGGAUUCGAGUUAAUUUGAUCAUUUCAAAGCUUUGAAAAAUUUGGCCUAUGCAGGGUAUACAAGUAUGUGUGUUUAUGUCUUUGUGUGUGUGUGCGCGUGUAUGUGUAUCUGUGAGUGCAUGUUUUCAAAAUGUACUGUUUAAGUUUAAAUACACUUUUAAAAAUAAAUGAAUUAAGCUACAAUGUUCAUAAAACACUUGCCAAGAAUUGUUCCAGGCGGAAAUUCCUGACAACCAAAGAACUGUAUUCAAGGAAAUUUCAUGUUGGUGGCAUUUGCAUUACACUCCCUCAAAAAGGCAAACCCUUCAGCAUCGUGGUUUUCUUUUUUGUAAAUUAGUCAUCAUUAACAAUAACAACAUGUUACUUCUAUCUGAACUUUGAAUGAACACGCUGUAUUCAGGCAGCACAGACUGCUGCUCAAACAUUCACACUCUCAGCGAGCAUCAGAGAGAAACAGGUUCCCAUUGGUAGAGGUUCAUAGAACUAGGGUU